rnacentral:misc_RNA from 1 species
AACGCACAUUGCGCCCCUUGGUAUUCCAUGGGGCAUGCCUGUUCGAGCGUCAUUUGUACUCUCAAGCUAAGCUUAGUGUUGGGUGUUUGUCCACUCCCUCGUGUUUGGACUCGCCUUAAAACCAUUGGCAGCCAGUAUUUUGGUAUUGAAGCGCAGCACAAUUUGCGAUCCAAGCCCAUGAAUACUAGCAACCAUGAAGUCCAUUUUUAACGCUUGACCUCGGAUCAGGUAGGGAUACCCGCUGAACUUAA